AUGGUGCUUUUACAAAAACUGGUAGUAUGCUGGGGGCCAAUUUAACUCCUUAUUCGAACAAAUCUGUACUUUCCACUUAAGAAAGGUAACUCUCCCAAUAUGGGCUGGUCUUACCUGGGCUUAGCCCUACAGGGGCCAGAAAAGUAGCAGCUACACAUAGUCCAUAAAUAGAGUGUCAUUCAGGCCAGGACCUGAGCCACAAAUGGCUCAUUAAAAAACACACUUUUCUCCUGCUAAACUUUCUACUCAAAGAUCUACAGUAGGUUCUGUAGAUUUCAGCUGCUUGGGGAGCUGUUAGUUUUUCAUGUCACUUUGCAGCAAGGAGCCCUCAAGCCGGGCAGUCAACUCAUUCCCCACUUGUGCAAUUAAGAAGACCAUAAAGAGAAUAACGAAACAGGCCAUUGGGAGCCACAAUUCCAGCACUCUUUCGGUGGUUUGUGAGUUCAAACAAGGCAAAAUGUGUCCAGGUCUGGCCGUUUCAUUUGAAUAAAAGAGUGGAAGCCACAUGGGUCCUAAGCGUUUUCAGAUCUCCUGGCGGUGUGUGGGUGAAUUGUUAUGCACAAUGCCACUCUGAUGGGGAACACUUGGUAGGUCAUUUUAAAUCACUGGAAAGGCUCCCUAAGGUCUUCACUGAAGGCACUUCUGCACAUAUUUUUCUGUGGACUGGGGAAGCCCCUGGCCAAACUGCUAUCCUGUCUGAUAACUUCCUACUUACCCUUUAAGAAUUACAUCAUAGUCAUGGCUCUACAGCGCCUUUCCCAGCCUCAUUUUAUGACCUGAUGUACAUAAGUACAUCACCUUCUGUGGUAAUUAUUUAUAAAUAGGUGUCCCAGGCACCUAGUCUAAUGCUGGUGUAGCAUGUAGACAUGUUCAAUAAAUAUUCACUAAUAGCGCUGCUGAUGUGAGUCUAGACACGUUUACUGGUCAUAUUCUUAUAUUUCCAUUAUAUUUUGCCCAGUACUUUUGAUACUGAAGUUUUCUUCAGCGUCCACACAGAGUUGAUGCAGGACAGUUACAGGUAGUUCUUUAGACAGUAUUCUCAGAUCAUGGAUGUAAUUGUACUAUCUCAAGUAGAAAGGAAGACUUGGCUUGCCUCUUCCUUGCCAUCAAAUCUCUGGCAGUUUAUCUGGGCAAAGAUAGAAUUAGGGUCCCUGGGACAAGGACAUCAUUAUACCCUCUGCUGGCGAGCAUGCUGGCCAUAUUCUUGAGUCCAGAACUCUAUAUUCUAGAAGUUGGAACACCCUUUCAAUGAAGUAAUCUGAGGGCUGACAGCUGCCAUUUGUUGAGCAUUUACAACAUAUACUGUUGUAAUAUACUGCGAGUCACUUCAUUUUUCAUUUCUCAAAAAAACAAAAAAAUGAGGAAGAGGCACUGGUAUUAUCCUACUUUACAGAAAAACAAAUCGAGGCUAGUGAACAUCAUGUAACUUUUCUUACAUUCUGAUAGCUACGAAGUGGCAGAACUGAGAUUUGAAUCCAGGUCUCUGCUUCCAAAAGCUCAUAGGUAUCAUUUUCUGUGAUGCGACUCCAAGCAGGAUGCAGCUCUCCAAUGUGAGAAACACUGAGGUCUGUGGCCAGCAGCACCAUCUUUAAAUUAUCCUCAGUUUCCAAGGAUGCUAAUGAAAAACAUGAAGCCCAAAUAAUGAGGUCAGAGUUGUUAUAAUCACCAGCCCAUUCUGAAGAGUCCAAGCAGAUUUGGGGUGUCCCACUGAGCUACAUGAUCCAGAAAUUCCCCCUGGCUCGUAUACUUUUAUAAAGGUUGAAUACCACAUUAUAGGUACUUCUUCAUGAGAAUUGGAUAAGAAUUCAAUUUUCCUUGCAAGGAUUUCUAGGAGUGGUAGAAGGAGGCAAUCUUACCUUAUGUCCUACCUUAGGGGGAAAGCAUUCCGUCUUUCACCAAUGAGACACAUGAGGCACCAGAAAGGUUAAGAAUAUUCUCCAAGGACACAGAAGUAACAGGUGGCAGACCUGAGAUUUGAACCCAGAUUGUCUGACUCUAGAGUCUGUGCUCUUGACAACUCCCCUGUGACUUUAAAGAAAGGCCCCUAUUCCACAUAUUCAUUACUGUUAUACAGUGUCAGCUAUAGUAAAACUGAAGGACAAAAACCUCAAACUACUAUUUCUUAUUUGAAAUAGCUGAAAUUAAAAGCCUGCUU